AUUUAGUAAGUUAGUAUAAAGUUUGACCAAAAAAAAUGGUAAGUUAGUAUGAAUUAUUACCAAAAGUAAAUAGAUAACGUCAACUCCAUGGGUUCGAUUAGGUCUGCUUGACGACAUAUCAUAUUGUCAUGUGGUCUUGUUUACAUAAAAUUAAUAUAGUUAAUAUCCAUGUGCUAACUAUCAGAUUUAUCUUUUCUGAAACCCGGCCAACCUGAUAAGGUAAUUAAUAGCCCACUACCCAACAGAAAUUUGAAACACCUGCCCAAUUUUAAAAUCUCUUAAAGCCCAGCACUUAAUGAUUUUAAUGGAUUUAAUCUUGUACCCG
rnacentral:lncRNA from 1 species